UUCCGGUUGAUCCCGCCGGAGGUUACUGCUAUCGAGGUUCGACUAAGCCAUGCGAGUCGAAUGUAGCAAUACAUGGCGAACUGCUCAGUAACACGUGGACAACCUGCCCUUAGGACGGGGAUAAACCCGGGAAACUGGGUAUAAUACCCGAUAGGUCUCGAUUGCUGGAAUGCAUCGAGAUUUAAAGCUCCGGCGCCUAAGGAUGGGUCUGCGGCCUAUCAGGUAGUAGUGGGUGUAGCGUACCUACUAGCCUACGACGGGUACGGGUUGUGAGAGCAAGAGCCCGGAGAUGGAUUCUGAGACACGAAUCCAGGCCCUACGGGGUGCAGCAGGCGCGAAAACUUUACAAUGCUGGCAACAGCGAUAAGGGAACCUCGAGUGCCAGGUUACAAAUCUGGCUGUCGAGAUGCCUAAAAAGCAUUUCAUAGCAAGGGCCGGGCAAGACCGGUGCCAGCCGCCGCGGUAACACCGGCGGCUCGAGUGGUAACCGUUAUUAUUGGGUCUAAAGGGUCUGUAGCCGGCCGGAUAAGUCUCUUGAGAAAUCUGGCAGCUUAACUGUCAGGCUUUCAGGAGAUACUGUCUGGCUCGAGGCCGGGAGAGGUGAGAGGUACUUCAGGGGUAGGGGUGAAAUCUUGUAAUCCUUGAAGGACCACCAGUGGCGAAGGCGUCUCACCAGAACGGACCUGACGGCAAGGGACGAAAGCUAGGGGCACGAACCGGAUUAGAUACCCGGGUAGUCCUAGCCGUAAACGAUACUCGCUAGGUGUCGGCCACGGUGCGACCGUUGUCGGUGCCGUAGGGAAGCCGUGAAGCGAGCCACCUGGGAAGUACGGCCGCAAGGCUGAAACUUAAAGGAAUUGGCGGGGGAGCACCACAACGGGUGGAGCUUGCGGUUUAAUUGGAUUCAACGCCGGG
rnacentral:rRNA from 6 species